AGAGUUUGAUCCUGGCUCAGGAUGAACGCUAGCGGCAGGCUUAAUACAUGCAAGUCGAGGGGCAGCAGGGGUAGCAAUACUCGCUGGCGACCGGCGCACGGGUGCGUAACACGUAUACAAUCUGCCUUUAACAGGGGGAUAGCCCGGAGAAAUCCGGAUUAAUACCCCAUAAUAAAUUGAAUGGCAUCAUUUGAUUUUGAAAGCUCCGGCGGUUAAAGAUGAGUAUGCGUCUGAUUAGCUAGUUGGUGAGGUAACGGCUCACCAAGGCAACGAUCAGUAGGGGAUCUGAGAGGAUUAACCCCCACACGGAUACUGAGACACGGAUCCGACUCCUACGGGAGGCAGCAGUAAGGAAUAUUGGACAAUGCCCGCAAGGGUGAUCCAGCCAUGCCGCGUGCAGGAAGACGGCCCUAUGGGUUGUAAACUGCUUUUGUACCGGAGAAAACCUUCCCUU
rnacentral:rRNA from 1 species